ACGUGCCGGCAGAGGCAGUGGCGGAUCGCCGUUUUCCUCCGCCCUACGCAGCUUCUUCUCUUAUCGGAUCUUCGUCUCCGCUAUGUUUACUCUUCUCUUCUUCGCAACUGCUUCCGUACUCUUCUCAUCGCAUCCUGCACAUUUGUCUGAUGAUACUUCGGGGAAUGAAAUAGAAAGUUGCCUCAAGAGAAGCUUGAGAAAAGCUUCACCGGAAAAUGAGUGACCUUCAAGAGAAGCUUAAUGAAAAGCUUUCAAUUAUUUGAUUCUAUUAACUACGUAUUGCCAUCAUCUAAUUCAUGAUUUAAAUGGCUGUUGAAUGGUUUAGAAAAAGUGACAACAGGUCCCAACAUUGCUGAUGCUAUUGUAGGAAGAAUUGCUAAGGGAACCAAAGUUCUUUUAGGUGGAUAUGAUAAAAUAUUUAGAACAACAUUCCAAUUUCCAAACCAUUCCUGAGGAAGCACUUCUGGGGAAUUCGAUCACUGCUAAUGCAUCCGACCAACUUCCUUUCACUCCUCAAGACCUAUAGAGCUUCUUUUCACUCCUCAAGACCUAUAGUCUCGAUCAUGGUCUCAAUUUACGAAAACUGGAAGCAUUCACGCCCAAGGGAUAACUUAUUUAAUGUAGUUGAAGUCUUCACUAAUUCAUCUAAGUUUAAAAUGUUCACACUUGUGCACUUGCUAAAGAAGUGGAUGUUAAUAGUUCAACUCACCUAGCGGGUCAGAUUGCAUCUGGUAGCAACAAAUUAGAGGCAGGUCCAAUCUGGGCAAAUUGUUUUUGCUAAACUCGCUUACCGGACAAUGUUGUGUUGUACAAACAUCAAACAAGCUUGGUCUCACUCAGAACCGUAAAGGGAAUUUGAUAGACGUAGAAGAUGUUGCCAGUGCUAAUGAAUUUGAACGCAAAGAUCACUCUGAUUGUUCAGUCUAAAGGGAAAUCACUAUUUAUUCAAAAAUGAGACAGAUGAUUCAUUAUUUGGUAUCUGGAGUUGAUUACGAGGCUCCUUAGGCUCUGC
rnacentral:lncRNA from 1 species